GGAAAUGCCGUAGCUCAGUGGCACAGCAUCACCCUUGCAUGCAGAAGGUCCCAGGUUCAAUCCCUGCCAUCUCCA